rnacentral:rRNA from 1 species
CAGCAGCCGCGGUAAAACGUAGGGUGCGAGCGUUAAUCGGAAUUACUGGGCGUAAAGCGUGCGCAGGCGGUUCGUUAAGACAGAUGUGAAAUCCCCGGGCUUAACCUGGGAACUGCAUUUGUGACUGGCGAGCUAGAGUAUGGCAGAGGGGGGUAGAAUUCCACGUGUAGCAGUGAAAUGCGUAGAGAUGUGGAGGAAUACCGAUGGCGAAGGCAGCCCCCUGGGCCAAUACUGACGCUCAUGCACGAAAGCGUGGGGAGCAAACAGGAUUAGAGACCCCCGUAGUCCCUGUCUCUUAUAC